CCCCUCUCCUGAUGCAACGGUCCAGAAAGGCUCCCCACGAAUCAAGUCCACAAAACGAUAUAAUCCAAACAUAUAAUCCACAAUGGGUGUGUCCUGGAUCCUUAUUCUGCCCCAGGUACACAGUCUCAGUGACAGUAGGUGCACCUGGUGAUGGGAAUUCAGGCUUUUUUUUAGGGAUUCGAUCAUUUGGCUUAGCAGUUACCGACUCUUUCGACUCUCAAACGGCUCUUUGUGGAAUCGUUCAUUUACAAGAGCUGGCUUUUAGAGUCGAGUCGUUCGAAGCCCCCACAUGAACCAGCUCCCCUCCUCAGGUGCUGCCUCCUCCUCCAUGAAGUGAUGACAGGCUUAUUUAAAGUGCAGAAACCCGAGGAGUGAUGAGAUAACAUCUUAAACCACCUAGCCGGAGCCUGCAGGUGGAUGCUGGGGAGGUGGUGGGACUGUGAGUUUGAGUGCAGCACUGGCGCAGGGCAGUGGAGGCAAAGACAGACUGGACAUUGCAGCUUAUAUUGAGCUUUUGUCAGGUUAUGAAAACAAAGAGUGAGGGAGCUGGAGUCUGAGGACGUGCUGAGAGGAACAGUCGGUGGAAUCAUGAUUCAUCCAUUCUGCAGGGGCUCCUCCUCGUACGUCGGCGUUGGACCAACCAUCUGUCCUCACCGCCUGCCAUGCCAGAGGCCCUUUCGUAUUGUCUUAGCAUGACACUGCACUCGGCAUGCCAGCACUGGAAACCGCACCACAUCGACGUUUGCAGAGAAAUGAUAUGACACCCUCAGAUGAAGACAGACUGACAAGGAAGAGUGUAAAACAGAUAAAGGCAGGAUUUUUGUGUCA